rnacentral:lncRNA from 1 species
ACUAUCAGAAAAAUAUUAGGAAGAUACUCUUCAUAUGUCAUACAACUUAGGAUUUGAUUUUUGGCUCCAACAUAUGCAAAAACCAAAUCCCAGGGCACACAAGCAACACUUGUUGAAAAUCUCACCACUCUUGUAGCAACUUUUGCCACUCAAAAUUCUCUUUCUUUUUUCUCAAAAAUUUUUUAGAAUUUUUCAUAUGUUUACCACUCCCUCCUCU